rnacentral:rRNA from 1 species
UUUAUUUUUAAAAGACCUAGCAAUAGGUAUGCUUAGGGAAGAGCUUGCGUCACAUUAGUUAGUUGGUGGGGUAAUGGCCUACCAAGACGAUGAUGUGUAGCCGGGCUGAGAGGUCGAACGGCCACAUUGGGACUGAGACACGGCCCAAACUCCUACGGGAGGCAGCAGUAAGGAAUUUUCGGCAAUGGAGGAAACUCUGACCGAGCAAUGCCGCGUGAACGAUGAAGUAUUUCGGUACGUAAAGUUCUUUUAUUAGGGAAGAAAAGAUGGUGGAAAAACCAUUAUGACGGUACCUAAUGAAUAAGCCCCGGCUAACUAUGUGCCAGCAGCCGCGGUAAUACAUAGGGGGCAAGCGUUAUCCGGAAUUAUUGGGCGUAAAGGGUGCGUAGGCGGUUAAAUAAGUUUAUGGUCUAAGUGCAACGCUCAACGUUGUGAUGCUAUAAAAACUGUUUAGCUAGAGUUGGAUAGAGGCAAGUGGAAUUCCGUGUGUAGUGGUAAAAUGCGUAAAUAUACGGAGGAACACCAGAAGCGAAGGCGGCUUGCUGGGUCUUAACUGACGCUGAGGCACGAAAGCGUGGGGAGCAAACAGGAUUAGAUACCCUGGUAGUCCACGCCCUAAACGAUGAGUACUAAACGUUGGAUAAAACCAGUGUUGAAGUUAACACAUUAAGUACUCCGCCUGAGUAGUACGUACGCAAGUAUGAAACUUAAAGGAAUUGACGGGACUCCGCACAAGCGGUGGAUCAUGUUGUUUAAUUCGAAAGUACCCGAAAAACCUCACCASGUCUUGACAUGCUUUUGCAAAGCUGUAGAAAUACAGUGGAGGUUAUCAGAAGCACAGGUGGUGCAUGGUUGUCGUCAGCUCGUGUCGUGAGAUGUUGGGUUAAGUCCCGCAACGAGCGCAACCCUUGUUGUUAAUUGCCAUCAUUAAGUUGGGGACUUUAGCAAGACUGCCAAUGAUAAAUUGGAGGAAGGUGGGGACGACGUCAAAUCAUCAUGCCCCUUAUGACCUGGGCUACAAACGUGAUACAAUGGCUGUUACAAAGGGUAGCUAAAGCGUAAGCUUCUGGCGAAUCUCAAAAAAGCAGUCUCAGUUCGGAUUGAAGUCUGCAACUCGACUUCAUGAAGUUGGAAUCGCUAGUAAUCGCGAAUC